UAAAGAUGGAGACAUCAAAGCCGAGCAUUACUAAUUGCCCGUUCACUUUCUUUA
rnacentral:rRNA from 1 species